ACUUUGCUUUAAGUGUAGCUGCUUGGGUACUACGAGCGUGUGCUUAAAACUCAAAGAACUUGGCGGCUUGUUAACUACCUAGGGGAAUAUGCGCCUUAAUCCGAUGAUCCCCGUUACAUCUUACUGGGCCUUGAAAAAGUGCAGCUGGUGUAUUGCCGUUGUCAGCUUGUUGUUUGAGCAGAGCGAAACAGGCUUAAUGGAUCUUGGUGAUUAGACUCACAGGAAGCCGUGAAUUCAGGUCGUAAUACUGCCUAUGGCUCAAGGGAGUGGGUGUUACAACUCAGAAUUAGAAUUACGGAUCUUUAGUGUGAAAGCUUAAGGUGAAGGUGAACUUAGGAGUAAGGGAAAAUUAACAUGUUCCCCUGAACGUGAAUCUAACUCGUGUACAAACUGCC
rnacentral:rRNA from 1 species